rnacentral:rRNA from 1 species
GCACUUGGGGGAUGUAAGUUUUCAAGAAUAGGAAACAAGUACUAUUUAGGAUAAAGUUCUAGAUAAAAUAUUGAAUUAGACAAUUUAUUAUCUAUGUGUCUUGACCAAAUUACGUGCCAGCAGUCGCGGUAACACGUAGAAGACUAGUGUUAUUCAUCUUUAUUAGGUUUAAAGGGUACCUAGACUGCAGAUUUAGCCUCCAUAAGGUACAAAUUUGCUAGAGUUUUAUAUAAGAAGGUAGAAUUUUUGGAGUAGAGAUACAAUUCGUUCAUACCAAAAAGACUUAUAACAGUGAAGACAACCUUCUAGGUAAAAACUGACGUUGAGGGACGAAGGCUUGGGUAGCGAUUAGGAUUAGAUACCCUAGUAGUCCAAGCAGAAAAUUAUGAGUGUCAUAUAUUAGAAUAUAUUUAGUGUAUAAACGAAAGUGCAACCACUCCACCUUAAGAGUAAUGUGGCAACACAGAAACUGAAAUCAUUAGACCGUCUCUGAAACCAGUAAUGAAGUAUGUUAUUUAAUUCGAUAACCCCCGAAAAACCUUACCACAAUUUGUAUAUUAUUAAAUUAAUACAGGUGCUGCACGGCUGUUUUUAGUUAAUGUCGUGAGACUGUGGUUAGUUCCAUCAAUUAACGUAAACCCUUGUUUUAUUUUUAUAUAAAAUAGCUCUGCCGAUAUAAUGGUAUGUUAACAGGGAUCAAGACAAGUCAUCAUGGCCCUAA